rnacentral:rRNA from 1 species
GUGCAGCAGGCGCGAAACCUCUGCAAUAGGCGAAAGCUUGACAGGGUUACUCUGAGUGAUUUCCGUUAAGGAGAUCUUUGGCACCUCUAAAAAUGGUGCAGGAUAAGGGGUGGGCAAGUCUGGUGUCAGCCGUCGCGGUAAUACCAGCACCCCGGGUGGUCGGGACGAUUAUUGGGCCUAAAGCAUCCGUAGCCGGUUCUACAAGUCUUCCGUUAAAUCCAACUUGCUUAACGAGAUGGGCCGCGGAGGAUACUAUAAGACUAGGAGGCAGGAGAGGCAAGCGGUACUCAGUGGGUA